GCUGCUGUUCAAGACAACACUUCAGAGGAAGACAAGACCAGAUGUUCAGACACUGAGCUGUGAAAUGGUGAAAGAUGAUGGCGUCUGUUGAAGAACUGCUUCUGAAGUCGCUGGAGGAAUUGGUCAAAGAUGAUCUGAAGAAGUUUCAGUGGCACUUAAAGAAACAUGAGUGUAUAUCAACGUCUGAAAUGGAGGAUGCAGAUCGAUUAAAAACAGUGGAUAAGAUGGUGGCGUGUUUUUGGACCAGAAGAAGCUGUGAAGAUCACAGUCGGCAUCCUGAAGAAUAUGGGCAAGAAUGAUCCGGCUGUGCAGCUGGAGAACAAACACACAAGCAAGCUCAAGCUGAAGGCAAUAUGAAGACAUCUUAUUCUGCUGGAGCUCAUUCAAAAGAGAUACAGGGUAAAUAACUAUCACUGCUUGUACUGUACAUGGAAACAAGAGGAAAUAAAACAGCAAUUGCAGGACAUAGCCCAACAGCAGCAGGUCUUACACAAAUAAAUUUAAUAGAACUAUGACCCCCAGCAUACAAGCUUGAUUAACUGUGAUACAAUUUAUUUUUAUACUCUGAUACAAAUUAUGCUUGACCAGCAGGUGAAAUAAUUUAGUAUCAUGAAGGCAUCAUUACAAUCACAAAUA